UUUUCUUUUCUUUUUAUUUUUGUUACCCUUGUUGAAGAAAAGACUGGAACAACAUAAGUCUUGAGAGGGUUUGGGAGGCGAGGAGAAAGGAUUCUCACACUCACAUCAGCAAGUGGGGAUCAUCACUUCUAUCCCUAGAAGUCUGUAAUGGCUAUUCAGGAACAUCUGACCUGCCCCAGGCACAAUGGGAUCAACAGUGUCCCAGUUCUUUUGACCUCAUGGGGAAGGGAAACUAAGGUAAGGAUUGACGAGCAGAGAAGAAGGAACAGGCUCAGAUGUUAGCCCAGCAAGUCAACCCAGUAAUUACAAUGCUUCAAGCAGAUGACCAAUGCAAAAGCUAGCUUCCAUUUGUACCCCUUUUGCCCCCAGUUCAUUAAGGGCUUUUACGUUCAUUAUUUUAUUGGAUCCUAACCAGAACCCCGUGAGAGAGGCACUAGUGUCCUCGUUUUACAGCUGAGAUCUUUGAGGCUCAACAAGAUGAAUGGAUCCACCCAAGGUCUCUCUCAGUUAAUAAGAGCUGGCACUGGAACCCGGGACUUGUGAUUGAUCCCUCUUUAUUUUUUUUAAUGUUUGUUUGUUUAUUUUUGAGAGACACAGAGAGAGAUGGCAUGAGCGGGGAGGGGCAAAGAGAGGGAGACAGAGAGUCCCAAGCAGGCUCUGAGCCGUCAGCACAGAACCCGACGUGGGGCUCCGUCUCACGACAGCGAGACCAUGACCUGAGCCGAAAUCCAGAGUCGGACACUUAACCAACUGACCCACCCAGGCGCCCCUGGUUCCUCUUUCUCGUUUGACACACUGAGCUGUAAGAGAUACAUUUUCAUACAAGAACACACAAGGAAUAUUAAAAAGCAAGAAGAAAAAUGGAAGUGUGUUUACAAAAAGUUGGUUCAUGUGAUCUUAACCAAUAGUUCCCCUUUUGAGAUUCCUUUUCAUUUCUCAGCCCUUAUCAUCAAUGCCCAGGAGACAGACCACAGACAGCACCGAGGCACCACCUCUGGGCCUUAAUGCCGUGUUUGUGUUGUGUUAUUCAGGCACAGUUGCAGAGCCUGGGCUUGGUGGGAGUUUCCAAAGGUGGCCCUAUUUGCCAAAGGCGGUGCUGAGGCAUGGGCCGUGUGGCCCGUGUGUCCUAGGCCUGCCACGGGCUCUAUGUGGAGGAGUCUCUGGACAGGCUGCCAUCUUGGACAGUCAAUCUGGGUUCAGGCUGGCUCCCCUCCAGAUGGCACUUCAUUAGAGAAAAGCACAGUUAAAGCCCCACAUGGGGCACACCUGUUUAUCCAGCUCCAUCUCAGAUCCUGCCUUCCCAAUGUGCCUCUGACAGGCACAGAAGUGAAACACAUGGAGCUCCUUUUGGCCUAGUGCUGUUUAUUGUCACAUUUAAUUCUCAGUCCCACCGUAUGGAGUGAUUGUCUGCAUUUGAUAAUUAAGGAUCCUGUGGAACCAGGGAGUUCAAGCAACUUGUUCAAGGAAACACGACUAGUAAGCGGCCCACGUAGUACUUGAGCCCAGCUCUUUCCGGCAACAGAAACCAGGCACUUUUCAAUGUGCUACCCAGCCUCUUCAGGCAACAGGAACUCUACAGACACCUCAGCUCACUCCAAUCUAUUGACCAACUUGAAUGUGUUACCACUGCCGAACAGGGGAGUGUACACGAAGACACAUCCGUAGAUCGUGCAUGAGACAGGAGAUAGCUCCUUUUCAUUCAGCCAAGUAGAUUUGAAAUCCCCCUUUUCUAGAAAACGUUCCUGGCCCCACCUGAAUCCACUUAGCUAUAGACCAUCAUACCUCCCUCCUUCCCUGUUUUAACCGCCGAAUGAUUGUCCUUUGAGACAGUUACAGAGCAGUGGCAGAAGCAUUUCAGACCACCCGCAAGGCAACUGCCUGCAUGUUUGCAUGGGGGAUCCUGUCGCAGGAUUUUGGCCCACAGGAGGCAGGGGCCUGGGCUGCCUGAGUCACCGUAGGUAAGGCAGCAAAUCCCAAAUCAGCCCUGAGUCAUCCUCACCCACCCCUCUCUCACUGCCAGCCACCUUUCCAGGGGUAACACCUGAAUCAUCUUCUCUGCCUUCAGGAAGUGCACAUCUUAACCGAAACAAUAGCAGAGUCUCUCCUCAGAAGAUUUGCAUGCUCAGCGCGGCAUGCUUUGCUAUGACUCAGAGCCUGCAAAUGCUGAAAAUACUACCACCAUGUUCCUCGGGAUGACAAAUCCUCCCAAAUGCUAUCACUACGGACUUCCUUCCAUGGCAGGCUUCGUGCCCAGUCUGCAAGUCAGCGUAAGCCCUAAGGCUCUGGGCUUCAGGAAAGCAAGUUUGAUUUCUGGAGGCCAUGUGGCACCCGCUUAUUCUCGGUCACAAUACAUGCCAACGUGCAGCAGGCUGAUUACGAUCAUACAUUUGCUAUUGUAAACUCCAGCAAGCUUGAGGCCUAAGCAUCGAAGCCGGUUCAAAGGUCAUCACAAGUUUUCUCUUCCAGGGGAAAAAUAAAGAACUUCCAAUUAAAGUGUAGAAUGGAGCUCCUUCCAUCCCGUUCCGCUUGCCUUUCCUAAACUUUCAAGAAUAAAAAUAAAUCAUUUUUCUGA